UACAGAGGGGGCAAGCGUUAUUCGGAAUUAUUGGGCGUAAAGGGCGCGUAGGCGGCUUGGCAAGUGGAUGGUGAAAUCCCUCGGCUUAACCGAGGAACUGCCGUCCAAACUGCUUAGCUUGAGACCGGGAGAGGUGAGUGGAAUUCCCAGUGUAGCGGUGAAAUGCGUAGAUAUUGGGAGGAACACCAGUGGCGAAGGCGGCUCACUGGACCGGUACUGACGCUGAUGCGCGAAAGCGUGGGAGCAACAGG
rnacentral:rRNA from 1 species